AUUAAUGACAUGGAGAAUAAUUUAUGUUUCAGUGCAAGCAGCAUGUAAAAUUUCUCUCCCUUGUUUUCAAACUGUCAUUUCCAUUUCCCUUCCAUUACUCUGCAGGUUCUUGGGCACUAUGUCAUGUUUGUAUCAGAACUUACACCAGAAUGGAGUGAUCUCAAUUUAUGAAGGCUAUUGUCCCUGGCUUUGCCCUUGGCACAAUGACCAGAACUUCGGUAGUAGAUGCAUCAUAAUACCUUAAAUUGCCUGUCCCUACUUCAGGCUGGAUCCCUCAUUUCUCAUUAAAGACAAAUGACCAGCAACCUCUUCUCCUCCCAUGGGUCCUCACAACUGAGGAUAGCCCUUUGAAGGGAAUUCAAUACUCACCCGAUCUCAGCCUGAUGUGUUACUGAAAUGAGAUCAUCAAUUACUGUCUGCUUUUCUUCUUGAGAACUUUCUACAUUUAAAUAAAUAAAUGAAUAAAAGUGUCAUGGAUAGGCAAAGAGGAAAGAAUUACUUGAUGUUGGACAAGAAUUUCACAACAUUACCUUCAUGGAUAUGACAUGUGGAAAUGAUGAGACAUAUUGUACGUUUUGAAUUCCAAGGAGUUUGCAGGGAGAUACUAAAGCCAUAGCACUAUGCUGAAGCUUCAUAUCUGGAGAGCGGUUCACAGAUGCCCACAGUUGUGUAUCUAAUGUAUCAUGGAGUUUUUGAGAAGAACAGUUUCUAGAUGGAACAAUGUCUUAAACAAAGAUUAAUGAAGGAUCAUGAAAAACAGGUGCAGAAGAGGUUUGCAGCUAUAUUUGAUCUGCCUGCCUGCCUGCCUGCAUGUGGAUUGUUACUACAGUAGGAUUAGAAGUGCUGGGUUUGAUGUCAGAAGUCUUAUUACUCACAUGAUUAUUAAUUAUGUCUCUCAAUCAGGGAAGCUGAGCAACAAGGCUCAGGAGAUUUGCCCCUCUCUGACUCUGAUAUAGCAUCAGCAUGCCCUCUAUCCUCAAAGGAUCAUUAAGGGGUCACACUGAACCCUUUGAAUUAGCAAUAAUGGAGCUCUUGCUGCAAGCAGCAAAGUUGUCCAGUUCUGGAGGCUGCUCUCCCCAAGCUCAGAGGUUUGACAUGAGGCACAGGGAGUCUGAAUUCCUGUCUCAUGAGAAAUAGGUGAAGGUUAGCAAAUGUUGCUAUCUGCAUGCAAAAUUAACGGGUAUGCUCCUCUCUGCUAUAAAUAAGAAACAUCCACUCCUAAGGGGCUGUUGACUUGUUCUAUUAGGAACAAUAUCAUUCUUCAGCAUAAGAGCAUUUAAGCUCAUUGACAGGCACAGCAACUGUCCACAUUUGUCAUAUCACCUGAUGUCAUCACCAGGCAAAAAAGCUAAUGAAAGAAUGAAUUCAUCGGGAAUGUGUGUAGAUAUAAUGAAUGCAACUCACACAUUUAAUCCAUCCACAUGUCCUGUGUGAGUAGACCACUGCUGAUGUAAUGAAAAACAAGGUAGGUACACAAUGUAAACAGACCAUAUCAGAAUAGAACCAUUCUGGACACACCUACACGUGAUGCUAUGUCACCAUUGUGACACGCUAUGGCGACAUAGUGUCCAUGGGUGUCUACACGUGACCAGCAACUCCCCCAUUAUAGUGCGCCGCUAUGACAAAGUAGUUGCUAAAAAUAACCAUGUGCCGUGCCUACAGCACAGUACAGGCGGUUACUGUGCCAUGCUUUAGUACUCCCAAAAGGAAGUACUAAAUCAUGGCGCUGUAACAACAUCACCGUGGGGCAACAUGUAGAUGUGCCAUCACAGAAUGAUGAAAUCAUUAUUCUUCUGUAUACUGCUUAUUAGUACAUGCAAUCUGUUGCAUAAGAAUCCAAAAUAAUGGAUAAGGGACACUCCACUCAUUUUAUGAUAGGGAAUAACGCAGAUGGAAAAUAAUUGACAAUGCUGCAAGAAACGGGCUCAUAAUGUCCACAGACUGACUUUGUGCACUUGUCUUGUGCUGCAUUCAUUCACAGGUUCAUCCUUAAAAACAAAUAUCUAGAAGUGUGCAUGUCCUAAUCAAGAUUACUGUUGCUUCCCAGCAGCAGGUGCCACCUGCCAGUUCCAUCAAACCAGAAGAUUUACUGGACUGUACAGUUCAGUGGGUUGCCAAGGGCCAUGUCACUACAAAUGAGUGUAUUGUCUGUUCUGUUUGCUCAAAUGUCUAGCAUACCUUACAGUGGUCUGUUUACUACUAGUGCCUAAGAGCUGUGAUAUUGGGUGGUUAAUAAAAAUAUUCAAGUAAA